rnacentral:rRNA from 1 species
CCGCUGGGAUCCCUUCGGGGUGAACUUGGUGCUGACGAGUGGCGGACGGGUGAGUAAUGCAUAGGAAUCUGCCCAGUAGCGGGGGACAACUCGGGGAAACUCGAGCUAAUACCGCAUACGCCCUACGGGGGAAAGCGGGGGACCUUCGGGCCUCGCACUAUUGGAUGAGCCUAUGUCUGAUUAGCUUGUUGGUGAGGUAACGGCUUACCAAGGCGACGAUCAGUAGCUGGUCUGAGAGGAUGAUCAGCCACACCGGAACUGAGACACGGUCCGGACUCCUACGGGAGGCAGCAGUGGGGAAUAUUGGACAAUGGGGGCAACCCUGAUCCAGCAAUGCCGCGUGUGUGAAGAAGGCCUGCGGGUUGUAAAGCACUUUCAACGGGGAAGAAAAGUUUACGGUUAAUACCCGUGAAAUUUGACGUUACCCGUAGAAGAAGCACCGGCUAACUCCGUGCCAGCAGCCGCGGUAAUACGGAGGGUGCGAGCGUUAAUCGGAAUUACUGGGCGUAAAGCGCGCGUAGGUGGUUUGGUAAGUCGGAUGUGAAAGCCCCGGGCUUAACCUGGGAAUGGCAUUCGAUACUGCCAGGCUAGAGUAUGGUAGAGGGAAGUGGAAUUCCGGGUGUAGCGGUGAAAUGCGUAGAUAUCCGGAGGAACACAGUG